AUGGCCUACGGGGGGCAGCAGUAGGGAAUAUUGCUCAAUGGGGGAAACCCUGAAGCAGCAACGCCGCGUGGAGGAUGAAGGUUUUAGGAUUGUAAACUCCUUUUGUAAGAGAAGAUAAUGACGGUAUCUCACGAAUAAGCACCGGCUAACUCCGUGCCAGCAGCCGCGGUAAUACGGAGGGUGCAAGCGUUACUCGGAAUUACUGGGCGUAAAGAGUGCGCAGGCGGGUUUGUUAGUCAGAUGGGAAGUCCUGUAGCUUAACUACAGAACUGCAUUUUAAACUUUUAGUCUAGAGUGUGGGAGAG
rnacentral:rRNA from 1 species